ACAGUCCAGCUGCACCUUGGAGGGGCCAUCGAUGGUGACAGACAAGGCCCCUGAGCCGGCAUUCAGGGUGUUCACGAUGAACUCUGACGACAUGCCUGGGGGCCAGAGGCAGCAAGGCUGUAGGCAGCAAGGGCUUGUGGCCCAGAGCGAGGCUGGGCCCCAGCCUUCCCUGAGCAGCCUCUGCCAGGACUGCGGGGCUCAGGAGCACUGCCCCAGCCUCCAGAGCAAGGCAGUCCUGGACUAGUGGCUGAGCACCCCCAAAGGCACCCUGCUCCCCAGCUCUAGGCACUCACCAGUAGUGCCUCCCUCGAGCCCAGGACCAUAGGCUGACACCAAGCCUGGGUCCCCAGCCUGGCUCUGCUCUCCAACUCGGAUCUUGAAGGGACUUCCAGGGAUGUGGGCACCAUUGAACUUGACAUCGAUGGAAUGGACACCAUUCUCGUGGGGGAUGAAGCGGAUGGUAUGCUUGUCUGUGGGUAGAGGGUUGGUGGAUGAGCCUCCAUCUCCCCCCACCCUUGCCCCCCACUUCCCAGAAGGUCCUGGCCUGGCAGGGGGUGGGCAGGGGCAGGGCCAGCUCACCACUGUCCAGCUCGGAGACGUAGCACUCCUCCACGGCUCCCGAGGGUGUGUGCACCCUGGCAUCAAUCACGCCCCGUGCACCAUUCAGCUGCACCGCAAAGGACGCUGGCUGGUUCACCUUGAGCCCCGUCUCCUGCAAAGGCCACCGAGAUGCUCAGACUCCUGGGAGGGCCAGGACUGCGGUGGUCUUGGUGGGACGCCACGCUGCUCUCACGGUGACAGAGGGACCCACCCCAGGCACACACCUGGAGGCUGGUGACCGUGAGACGGCGUGCAUCAUCCGAAAGGGAGGCCACAGGCACCACAAAGGGGCUGUCUGGGAUGUGCUCAUCGUUGAACUUGAUGGAGACCUCAUAGUCACCUGGGGAACGAGGCCAGGACUUUCUGCCUGGCCAGUGAGCAGGAGCCCAAUCUGGGCAGGCAGGCCCAGCCCCCUCCCCCAGCUGGACACCUACCUGGUUCCUGGACGACAUAGGAGACACCGCAGGAGCCAUCUUUUCGGUCCUCAAAUGCAAUCUCCGCCUUGCUGGGACCCUCCACAGCAAUGGACAGGCCCCCAGCACCUGCUUCUCGGGUCCAGAUGCUGAACUCGGCUGCAGACA